rnacentral:tRNA from 84 species
CCGGAAUAGCUCAGUUGGUAGAGCAGAGGACUGAAAAUCCUCGUGUCACCAGU